rnacentral:rRNA from 1 species
UUGCAUAAUGAGCCAGCGAGUUGCUCGUAUGUUGCAAGGUUAAUCCCCUAAAGGGAGAAGCCGUAGCGAAAGCAAGUCUGAAUAGGGCGAUUAAGUAACAUGCGGCAGACCCGAAGCCAAGUGAUCUAUCCAUGGCCAGGUUGAAGCGGCAGUAACAUGUCGUGGAGGACCGAACCCACCAGGGUUGAAAACCUGGGGGAUGAGCUGUGGAUAGGGGUGAAAGGCCAAUCAAACUUGGCGAUAUCUGGUUCUCCCCGAAAUGCCUUUAGGGGCAGCGUCGUGGGAGUGCCUCGGGGGUAGAGCACUGGAUGGACUAGGGGCCCUACAAGGUUACCAAACCCAACCAAACUCCGAAUACCGAGGUUAUGAUCUACGGCAGUGAGGCCGCGGGGGAUAAGCUUCGUGGCCGAGAGGGAAACAACCCAGACCAACAGCUAAGGUCCCAAAAUCUGAGUUAAGUGACAAAGGAUGUGAGAUUGCCCAGACAGCUAGGAGGUUGGCUUAGAAGCAGCCAUCCUUUAAAGAAAGCGUAACAGCUCACUAGUCAAGGAAUCUUGCGCCGAUAAUCUCCGGGACUUUAAAACUCAGUACCGAAGCUCUGGUCCCGACAUCUUGUGUGUCGGGAGGUAGGGGAGCGUUCCAUCAACCUGUGAAGUUCCAGCCGGGAGGCGGAAUGGAGGAAAUGGAAGUGAGAAUGCUGGCAUGAGUAGCGAUAAUUCCAGUGAAAUUCUGGGACACCGAAAGCCUAAGGUUUCCUGAGUAAAGUAACUCUACUCAGGGUUAGUCGGUUCCUAAGCCGAGGCCGAAAGGCGUAGGCGAUGGAUAACAGGUCAACAUUCCUGUACCACCCACUUAUCGUUUGAACGAUGGGGGGACGCAGAAGUGAAAGAUCAGCCCGGUUUUGAUUGUCCGGGUUUAAGUGUGUAGAGAGUUUCGGCAGGCAAAUCCACCGGAAUAAUCUUGAGACACGAAUAGGAGGGCCUAGCCCACAAACUGAUCCUAAUCAUACUGCCAAGAAAAUCCUCUAAGUGAGAUGAUUGGGUGACCGUACCGUAAUCGGACACACGUAGGCGAGAAGAGUAUUCUAAGGUGCUUGGUUUAAUCCUGGUAAAGGAACUCGGCAAAUUGGCCCCGUAACUUCGGGAGAAGGGGCGCCUCCAGUAGGUUGAAGGCCUUCGCGGCUGAAGCCCAAAGAGGUCGCAGAGAAUAGACUCGGGCGACUGUUUACCAAAAACACAGGUCUCUGCUAAGUCGCAAGACGAAAUAUAGGGACUGACACCUGCCCGGUGCCGGAAGGUUAAGUAGAGGGGUUAUCCCGAACUUGUUCGGGAGAAGCUCUGAAACGAAGCCCCGGUGAACGGCGGCCGUAACUAUAACGGUCCUAAGGUAGCGAAAUUCCUUGUCGGGUAAGUUCCGACCCGCACGAAUGGUGUAACGACUUGAGUACUGUCUCUACCAGGAGACCAGCGAAAUUGUAGCGUCGGUGAAGAUGCCGGCUAACCGCGGCAGGACGGAAAGACCCCGUGAACCUUUACUAUAACCUGAUAUUGGGUUUUGGUUCUGUAUGUGCAGGAUAGGUGGGAGGCUUUGAAGCUUCGACGCUAGUCGGGGUGGAGCCAACCUUGAAAUACCACCCUUAUAUUGCUGAAAUUCUAAUUCCGACCCUUGAAUCAGGGCGGGAAACAGUGUCAGGCGGGUAGUUUGACUGGGGCGGUCUCCUCCUAAAAUGUAACGGAGGAGCCCAAAGGUUCCCUCAGCACGGACGGUAAUCGUGCAAAGAGUGCAAAGGCAUAAGGGAGCUUAACUGCAAGGCCGACAGGCCGAGCAGAUGCGAAAGCAGGGCUUAGUGAUCCGGUGGUCCCGAAUGGAAGGGCCAUCGCUCAUCGGAUAAAAGGUACUCCGGGGAUAACAGGCUUAUCGCCUCCGAGAGCUCAUAUCGACGAGGCGGUUUGGCACCUCGAUGUCGGCUCAUCACAUCCUGGGGCUGAAGAAGGUCCCAAGGGUUGGGCUGUUCGCCCAUUAAAGUGGUACGUGAGCUGGGUUCAGAACGUCGUAAGACAGUUCGGUCCCUAUCCGCCGUGGUCGCAGGAAACUUGAGGGAUGCUGUUCCUAGUACGAGAGGACCGGAACGGACGAACCUCUGGUGCACCAGUUGUCUCAUCAGAGGCACCGCUGGGUAGCUACGUUCGGAUGGGAUAAGCACUGAAAGCAUAUAAGUGCGAAACCCUUCCCAAGAUUAGGUUUCCCUUCUUGAUUUCGAUCAGGAGUGAAGGUCCCCUGCAGACUACAGGGUUGAUAGGUCACAGGUGUAAGGUCAGUAAUGGCUUCAGCCGAGUGAUACUAAUUGACCGUCAGGCUUUACC